CUGAGGUUCGUCUAUCAGCUUGUAAACUGCUUUUAACGUGAAGAAUGAGGGCCGUUUUUUUCCUGUAAAAUCCAACCUUGUCUUGCAAAACAGGAACGCCAAGCAUGUGAAAUAUAUAGUGAUAUUGUGUUUUUAGUGUGUGUCGCACUCACUGUUUUGACCGAUGCUCACUCGCGUCUACGUAGUGCGAGCACAAGCACGAGCAAUGGGGCGCUGACUUUCAUCGACUUAACGGCCACAGGUGUAACUGUUAAAAAGCCAUUUCUGAUUCUAACAUAUAGCCCCUUUAA